GAAAAGCUCAAAGUUGCAAAAAUUGAAAACAUGUGAGUCAUGUUUGCUUCCCCAUCGUGAAAUCGGCCUUUCUAAUUUGUUCUUCCGCCACGAUAAGUGAUUCCAAUCGUUGAAAGGAGGGCAAUGACGCUUGUACAUUCGUGGAGAUGAGAGGCGUUGAACGGAUUUCUUUCUCAGAGGUAGCCGGGUAUAUCUAGGAGGAGACAAAAUUAGCAAGGUGGAACUUUUCGUUGGUUCUUUUAUUAGCUAUUGAUGACUCAUCGUUGAUCAGACAUGAAAUGAGCAUGGUAACAGAAGGAUUUAAUUCAGCUUCGACUGACCACAGCACUCCGUUUUAACUCAAUCUUACCAGGCAAAAUGUAGAGAACCUCUCCAAUAGGUCAUGGAUGACUAACAUUGCUUGAGGAGUCGGACAUUUCCUGCUGCACUAGACCACAUCUGUUGAAUUUUUAAAUCUUGGUUUCCCAAUAAAAUCA
rnacentral:lncRNA from 1 species